rnacentral:tRNA from 1 species
GGUCCCAUGGUGUAGCGGUUUAGCACCUCAGACUCUGAAUCUGGAGACCCGAGUUCGAAUCUCGGUGGGACCU